rnacentral:rRNA from 1 species
CAGCAGCCGCGGUAACACGGAGGGUGCUAGCGUUGCUCGGAUUUACUGGGCGUAAAGGGCGCGUAGGCGGACAUUUAAGUCGGGGGUGAAAGCCCGGGGCUCAACCUCGGAAUUGCCUUCGAUACUGGCCGUCUUGAGUACGGGAGAGGUGUGUGGAACUCCGAGUGUAGAGGUGAAAUUCGUAGAUAUUCGGAAGAACACCAGUGGCGAAGGCGACACACUGGCCCGUUACUGACGCUGAGGCGCGAAAGCGUGGGGAGCAAACAGGAUUAGAUACCCCUGUAGUCCCUGUCUCUUAUAC